rnacentral:rRNA from 1 species
GACGAACGCUGGCGGCGUGCUUAACACAUGCAAGUCGAACGGUGAAGCGCCUUCCUUUUUGGUGGGUGUGGAUGAGUGGCGAACGAGUGAGUAACACGUGAGUAACCUGCCCCCUUCUUCUGGAUAACCGCAUGAAAGUGUGGCUAAUACGGGAUAUUCUGGGUCUGUCGCAUGAUGGGUCUGGGAAAGAUAUUGUUUCGGUGGGGGAUGGGCUCGCGGCCUACCAGCUUGUUGGUGGGGUGAUGGCCUACCAAGGCGGUGACGGGUAGCCGGCCUGAGAGGGUGGACGGUCACACUGGGACUGAGACACGGACCAGACUCCGACGGGAGGCAGCAGUGGGGAAUAUUGCACAAUGGGCGCAAGGCUGAUGCAGCGACGCCGCGUGAGGGAUGGAGGCCUUCGGGUUGUGAACCUCUUUCGCCAGUGAAGCAGGCCUGCCUCGUUUGUGGGUGGGUUGACGGUAGCUGGAGAAGAAGCGCCGGCUAACUACGUG